CCAAAGCAACAUGUACUGGAUCAUGCACAUGAUGAUACACAAUUGGUUCGUGGUGUUCUUCAUCGACAGGUUAAUGCAUUUCUAGGUAAAGCUGAAAAUGCCUAUAUGCGGUUAAUGCAGUGGUGGUAUCCUAAUGAUUUACCUACACUAAUGCGAGAAUGUGCUGACUAUCUAGAACGUGAAGAAGAUACACGAUUUCGCCACACUGGUUGGAUAAAGAAAGUUAACACUGCCUUUAAUAAACUUAAAGAGUCUGAUAAAGACAAAGUAUUAGAACUUAUGGGUUUAGAAAAAGGUAAAAAUGGUGCAGAACGAAAGAAAUUGUUUCAAAAGGGUAUCUUGACAAAGAAUUACGACUAUGAUACAAUUUGUGCUUUCAUAGGAGAAAUAGCUAAUGAAAAUUAAAAUUAUUAAAUGCAGCAACUCAAUGCUUUGGUACAAUAAGCACAUUGGUGAAGAAUUUGAAGUAAAAUUCAUUGAGGAUAAAGCAUAUUGGACAAGAGAGCGUGAUGGAGUCUUCAAUGCGCUUAAUUGGAUUUAUAAAGAAGAUGCAACGCGAAGAACCUUACCAAGGCUUGACAUGUCGCGAAUCUCUGUGAAAGCGGAGAGUGCCUUCGGGAGCGCGAACACAGGUGGUGCAUGGCUGUCGUCAGCUCGUGUCGUGAGAUGUUGGGUUAAGUCCCGCAACGAGCGCAACCCUCGUAUUUAGUUGCCAUCAUUAAGUUGGGCACUCUAGAUAGACUGCCGGUGACAAACCGGAGGAAGGUGGGGAUGACGUCAAGUCAUCAUGCCCCUUACGCCUUGGGCUACACACGUACUACAAUGGCUGGGACAAAGAGUCGCGAGCAUGCGAAUGCAAGCUAAUCUCGUAAACCCAGUCUUAGUUCAGAUUGCAGGCUGCAACUCGCCUGCAUGAAGGCGGAAUCGCUAGUAAUCGCAGGUCAGCAUACUGCGGUGAAUACGUUCCCGGGCCUUGUACACACCGCCCGUCACACCAUGGAAGCUGUAUCGUGACUGGGAAACAGAUCGGAAGAGCGUCGUGU
rnacentral:rRNA from 1 species